rnacentral:rRNA from 1 species
AAUGAACGCUGGCGGCGUGGAUAAGACAUGCAAGUCGAACGAAGAACUGAUUAGCUUGCUUUGAAGUUCUUAGUGGCGGACGGGUUAGUAACACGUGAGUAACUUGCCUCAGAGUGGGGGAUAGUCCUGGGAAACUGGGUUUAAUACCGCAUACGACCUUUGGGUUAAAGCUGGCCUUUGGCUGGUGCUUUGAGAUAGGCUCGCGUCCUAUCAGCUAGUUGGUGAGGUAAAGGCUCACCAAGGCAACGACGGGUAGUUGGUCUGAGAGGACGACCAGCAACACUGGAACUGAGACACGGUCCAGACACCUACGGGUGGCAGCAGUCGAGAAUCAUUCACAAUGGGGGCAACCCUGAUGGUGCAACGCCGCGUGGAGGAUGAAGGCCCUAGGGUCGUAAACUCCUGUCAUAAUAGAGUAAGACUUAGUCGUUAAAAGCUUCUAAGUUUGAUAGUAUAUUAAGAGGAAGGGACGGCUAACUUCG